GCCCAGCCGUAAACAAUUAAUCUACACCUAUAAGCGCCAGGGAAUUACGAGCUAUGCUUAAAACCCAAAGGAUUUGACGGUGUCCCACCCCCCUAGAGGAGCCUGUUCUAUAAUCGAUGAUCCCCGCUACACCCGACCACUUCUUGCUUAUCAGUCUGUAUACCUCCGUCGAAAGCUUACCAUGUGAACGCCACCCACAGUAGGUUCAAUGACCCCCGUCAAUACGUCAGGUCAAGGUGCAGCUUAAGAAGUGGGAAGUGAUGGGCUACAAUUUCUAAUCUAGAACAAACGAAAGACUAUGUGAAACCCUAGUCACGAAGGCGGAUUUAGCAGUAAAAAGAAAAUAGAGUGUUCUUUUUAAUCUGGCUCUGGGACGCGUACACACCGCCCGUCACCCUCUUCGAUAGUGCUAAACCCCCGUCCAUAACCUAUUUAUACGUCUUAGAAGAGGCAAGUCGUAACAUGGUAAGUGUACUGGAAAGUGCACUUGGUAUAUCACAAAAUGUAGCUUAACAAAAGCCCCCCGCUUACACCGAGGAGUUGUCUGUUCGACCCAGAUUAUUUUGAGCCCUAAAUCUAGCCCGCACAACACGCAUGAUAUUCCUCAACACCUGUAAAAAAUAAAACAUUUUAACAUUUUAGUAUAGGCGAUAGAAAAAUUACUAAGCGCUUUAGAUAAAGUACCGCAAGGGAAAUAUGAAAUAGAAAUGAAAUAACCUUACAGCCACAAACAGCAGAGUCACCCCCUCG
rnacentral:rRNA from 1 species